ACGCCUGGGCGACCACGCUAAUGGCCCACAAGGGCGCAUUUCGUAGGGGAGGUUUGGCACAUAGAUGUCGGCUCGUCACGUCCUGGGGCAGGAGAAGGUCCCAAGGGUUAAGCUGUUCGACGAUUAAAGUGGCACGCGAGCUGGGUUCAGAACGUGGUGAGACAGGUCGGUCCCUAUAUGUGGCGGGCGUUGGAAUGUUGACAGGACCUGACCUUAGUACGAGAGGACCGGGUUGGACCAGCCGCUGGUGUACCAGUUGUGCCGCCAGGUGCAGCGCUGGGUAGCUACGCUGGGUCGAGAUAAGCGCUGAAAGCAUCUAAGUGCGAAACUCACCUGAAGAUGAGCAUUCCGUUCAAGAAGGUCCGUGGUAGAUCACCACGUCGAUAGGCCGCAGGUCUUAAGCCGGAGACGGCCAGCCGAGCGGUACUAAUGAACCGAACGCUUCCGAAUA
rfam:Cytophagales bacterium MC1A Contig_23, whole genome shotgun sequence.